UAAUGUUAUCUUCAGAAUUGCUGUGUUUUCGUUAGCUUAGAAUGAGCCCUUCAUAUCUACAUGGGGAGUGGGUACUCUUCACGGAGUCCCCCAUGUUGCUCCUCCAUGUUUCUACAGUAGCCCAGAACGUACAAACCAAACACUGGCUCUGAAGAGAGAGACUUUCACGUUUUUACGUUACCUGAAAGCCACCGUAGUACUCCGUCACGCUUGUGAAACUGCGGUAACGUGAGCCGCAGAGUGGUUACCGUUAUUACCGCCAGCCAUUGAAAACAGCCACACAUUCUCAUUUAUCAAGCCCAGUGCCAUUAUUUUAAUUGGUCUGAGUCUUUAUGGUUCCUUCUUUAAUGGAUCAAAAAAAAAAAGCAAAAACAAAACAAAUAUGACGACUAUUCACCCACAAUUAUGAGGCUUAAUAGAGGAGCUGGGCUCAAAGCCCAGCACUCAGCAGGAAUUACUGGCAGCAAAAUGACACACUCAACUGUG